GACGAACCGUGCGAACGUUGUUCGGAAUCACUGGGCUUAAAAGGCGCGUAGGCGGCUCGCGAGGUCGGGGGUGAAAUCCCGCAGCUUAACUGCGGAAGGGCCUCCGAUACCGGCGGGCUGGAGGAAGGUAGGGGUGCGCGGAACUUCUGGUGGAGCGGUGAAAUGCGUUGAUAUCAGAAGGAACGCCGGCGGCGAAAGCGGCGCACUGGACCUUUUCUGACGCUGAGGCGCGAAAGCUAGGGGAGCAAACGGG
rnacentral:rRNA from 1 species